UCUUCAAAAAGGGGGCUCUCUUCAGUUCAGUAAAGGAUGGUUGCCUGUUUGAAACUGCUGCCGGCUCAUUCAUUCACCAGCUCACUCUCAACACACAGACGAGACGACUGGGUUGAUGCGUGAAUGAUCCGGGAGCUGAUUUCGUCCAGUGAAUGUCUUUUCUUGGACUGAAGGGAGCUCCCUCAGGUAGUGUA
rfam:Picea glauca, whole genome shotgun sequence.